GCUCGCGUAGCUCAGCUGGUUAGAGCAUCGCACCUAUGAGGUUACCUAUUCUCGGAACUUGCGCCAGAAAUUUCCGUAGAAAACACAUCCAUGCGAGGGUCCUGAGUUCAAGCCUCAGCGUGAGUA